rnacentral:rRNA from 1 species
CAGCGGAGCGUGUGGUUUAAUUCGACGCAACGCGAAGAACCUUACCAGGACUUGACAUGCUAGUGGUAGGAGCCUGAAAGGGUGACGACCCGCGAGGGAGCUAGCACAGGUGCUGCAUGGCUGUCGUCAGCUCGUGCCGUGAGGUGUUGGGUUAAGUCCCGCAACGAGCGCAACCCUUGUUGCUAGUUAGGAUAUCUAGCGAGACUGCCGAGACAAACUCGGAGGAAGGUGGGGAUGACGUCAAGUCAGCACGGCCCUUACGUUCUGGGCUACACACACGCUACAAUGGGCGGUACAGAGGGUAGCAAAGGGGUGACCCCGAGCCAAUCCCAAAAAGCCGUCCUCAGUUCGGAUUGUAGGCUGCAACUCGCCUACAUGAAGUCGGAAUCGCUAGUAAUCGCGGAUCAGCACGCCGCGGUGAAUACGUUCCCGGGCCUU